rnacentral:rRNA from 1 species
AGUGCAUGUGGUGGAUGCCUUGGCAGUCAGAGGCGAUGAAAGACGUGAUAGCCUGCGAAAAGCUCCGGGGAGGCGGCAAAUAUCCUUUGAUCCGGAGAUGUCUGAAUGGGGGAACCCACCUACUUUAAGGUAGGUAUUGCAACAUGAAUACAUAGUGUUGCAAGGCGAACGAGGGGAAGUGAAACAUCUCAGUACCCUUAGGAAAAGAAAUCAAUUGAGAUUCCCUCAGUAGCGGCGAGCGAACGGGGAUCAGCCCAUUAAGUUAUGUGUGUUUUAGUGGAACGCUCUGGGAAGUGCGAACGUAGAGGGUGAUAUUCCCGUACACGAAAGGGCACACAUAAUGAUGACGAGUAGGGCGAGGCACGUGAAACCUUGUCUGAAUAUGGGGGGACCAUCCUCCAAGGCUAAAUACUCCUGACUGACCGAUAGUGAACCAGUACCGUGAGGGAAAGGCGAAAAGAACCCCUGUGAGGGGAGUGAAAUAGAUCCUGAAACCGCAUGCAUACAAGCAGUGGGAGCACCUUCGUGGUGUGACUGCGUACCUUUUGUAUAAUGGGUCAGCGACUUAUAUUCAGUAGCGAGGUUAACCGUAUAGGGGAGCCGUAGAGAAAUCGAGUCUUAAUAGGGCGUUUAGUUGCUGGGUAUAGACCCGAAACCAGGCGAUCUAUCCAUGAGCAGGUUGAAGGUUGGGUAACACUAACUGGAGGACCGAACCCACUGUCGUUGAAAAGCCAGGGGAUGACUUGUGGAUAGGGGUGAAAGGCUAAUCAAGCCUGGUGAUAGCUGGUUCUCCCCGAAAGCUAUUUAGGUAGCGCCUCGGACGAAUACCAUAGGGGGUAGAGCACUGUUUCGGCUAGGGGGUCAUCCCGACUUACCAAACCGAUGCAAACUCCGAAUACCUAUGAGUACUAUCCGGGAGACAGACUGCGGGUGCUAACGUCCGUAGUCAAGAGGAAAACAAUCCAGACCGCCAGCUAAGGCCCCAAAAUCAUAGUUAAGUGGGAAACGAUGUGGGAAGGCAUAGACAGCUAGGAGGUUGGCUUAGAAGCAGCCACCCUUUAAAGAAAGCGUAAUAGCUCACUAGUCGAGUCGGCCUGCGCGGAAGAUGUAACGGGGCUAAAACUAUGUGCCGAAGCUGCGGAUGUAUACUUUGUAUACGUGGUAGGGGAGCGUUCUGUAAGCCGAUGAAGGUGUGUUGAGAAGCAUGCUGGAGGUAUCAGAAGUGCGAAUGCUGACGUGAGUAACGACAAAACGGGUGAAAAACCCGUUCGCCGAAAGACCAAGGGUUCCAGUCCAACGUUAAUCGGGGCUGGGUGAGUCGACCCCUAAGGCGAGGCCGAAAGGCGUAGUCGAUGGGAAAAUGGUUAAUAUUCCAUUACUUCUGUGUAAUGCGAUGAGAGGACGGAGAAGGCUAAAUCAGCCUGGCGUUGGUUGUCCAGGUGAAAGGAUGUAGGCAUGUAUCUUAGGCAAAUCCGGGGUACUCUAUGCUGAGAUCUGAUAGCAAGCUGUACUUGUACAGCGAAGUGGUUGAUGCCAUGCUUCCAGGAAAAGUCUCUAAGCUUCAGUUACACAGGAAUCGUACCCGAAACCGACACAGGUGGUCAGGUCGAGUAGACCAAGGCGCUUGAGAGAACUCUGCUGAAGGAACUAGGCAAAAUGGUACCGUAACUUCGGGAGAAGGUACGCUGUUGUUGGUGAUGGAACUCGCUUCCUGAGCUGACGACAGCCGCAGAAACCAGGCCGCUGCAACUGUUUAUUAAAAACAUAGCACUCUGCAAACACGAAAGUGGACGUAUAGGGUGUGAUGCCUGCCCGGUGCUGGAAGGUUAAUUGAUGGGGUUAGCGUAAGCGAAGCUCUUGAUCGAAGCCCCAGUAAACGGCGGCCGUAACUAUAACGGUCCUAAGGUAGCGAAAUUCCUUGUCGGGUAAGUUCCGACCUGCACGAAUGGCAUAAUGAUGGCGGCGCUGUCUCCAGCAGAGGCUCAGUGAAAUCGAAAUCGCUGUGAAGAUGCAGUGUACCCGCGGCUAGACGGAAAGACCCCGUGAACCUUUACUGCAGCUUGACACUGAACUUUGACCUUACUUGUGUAGGAUAGGUGGGAGGCUUUGAAGCUGGAACGCUAGUUCCAGUGGAGCCGUCCUUGAAAUACCACCCUGGUAAUGUUGAGGUUCUAACUCUGUCCCGUGAUCCGGGACGAGGACCGUGUCUGGUGGGUAGUUUGACUGGGGCGGUCUCCUCCUAAAGAGUAACGGAGGAGUACGAAGGUGCGCUCAGCGUGGUCGGAAAUCACGCGUAGAGUAUAAAGGCAAAAGCGCGCUUAACUGCGAGACCCACAAGUCGAGCAGGUACGAAAGUAGGUCUUAGUGAUCCGGUGGUUCUGUAUGGAAGGGCCAUCGCUCAACGGAUAAAAGGUACUCUGGGGAUAACAGGCUGAUACCGCCCAAGAGUUCAUAUCGACGGCGGUGUUUGGCACCUCGAUGUCGGCUCAUCUCAUCCUGGGGCUGAAGCAGGUCCCAAGGGUAUGGCUGUUCGCCAUUUAAAGAGGUACGCGAGCUG